rnacentral:lncRNA from 1 species
GCGGAGGCCGGUGGUGCCUUAGUUGGUGCUGUGGGUUCCGUGGCAGAGCAGGACCAUCAUCCAAACACCCCAAUUCCAGCACAUCCAACAAAGGACGAGUCCUCGGCCCAAAGAGACAAUGACUGAUACCUGAGCCAAAGUCAACCUUGUGUGAUUUGACAUGGGAAAGGCCAACUGUAAAGAAGUGGCUCUGUGUCAACUGCCAAAGGGACUGAUUCAGACCAGAUGGACACACACCCCUGUUAAGUACGAGGAUGGGAGAAUAGUGGAAUUCUGUGGGCUGGAGAAAUGUAGGCAGCUGGGAGUUGAAGCACAGCAUGGUAGAUUCCAGCCCUCCUAUCCAGUCUUAUUGGUCCUGCAAUGGUGUGAUGAUACAGUCAGAAACAGCUGGAAGUUUCAAAGGAGCCAGACUGCAGAUCACCAGUAGGA